UCCCUUCUGGCUCAGCUGGUAAAGAAUCUGCCUGCAAUGCGGGAGACCUGGGUUCAAUCCCUGGGUUGGGAA
rnacentral:tRNA from 1 species